rnacentral:rRNA from 1 species
UGGGAAUAUUGCACAAUGGGCGCAAGCCUGAUGCAGCGACGCCGCGUGAGGGAUGACGGCCUUCGGGUUGUAAACCUCUUUCAGCAGGGACGAAGCGCAAGUGACGGUACCUGCAGAAGAAGCACCGGCCAACUACGUGCCAGCAGCCGCGGUAAUACGUAGGGUGCGAGCGUUGUCCGGAAUUACUGGGCGUAAAGAGCUCGUAGGCGGUUUGUCGCGUCGUCUGUGAAAUUCUGCAGCUUAACUGCAGGCGUGCAGGCGAUACGGGCAGACUUGAGUACUUACAGGGGAGACUGGAAUUCCUGGUGUAGCGGUGAAAUGCGCAGAUAUCAGGAGGAACACCGGUGGCGAAGGCGGGUCUCUGGGUAGUAACUGACGCUGAGGAGCGAAAAGCGUGGGUAGCGAACAGGAUUAGAUACCCUGGUAGUCCACGCCGUAAACGGU